UCCUUCAUUUCAUUCCCGUCCGCCUCUCCACUUGAAAUUCGGAAUCCUAGAAUCACCCUUUCUUCAACUUCCAACCAGCGCCACCAUCCUUCUGAACCGCUGACCGACGAUUUUAAAUGUGGCUAGAUCUACAAACGCCGAACGCACAGUGAAAUCGGGUCCUUCAUCUUCACCACCAUCCACAAACGCUGUAUUCUUGGUCGAGUCAGUCCACAACAGCCAUGUAUCUUCGCCUUCUUCCACGAACGCCAACUGAUUUCCACCGUCGAUAAUAAACUCAGUCCACAGCAACAAUAUUUUGUGUGAAACAUUGUGAAAAAAAGAAAGUUUUGAAAAUUGUGAAAAACGAGCACAGAGAACUUCUUCAAUGACUGUCCAAUAAAACUAGGAUGUCCAUGGUGUCUCCUAGGAUGGGAGAAAUGUUUUCAAGUUGAGAGGAAGACUCAUAACCAAAGGCGAUUAUUUAAAAUGUGCAGUAAAAAUUGUGGAUAUUUCCAUUGGGUCAAGACAGAAAUAUCAUGUAUUGAAUCGAGUACAAGGAAUGAAGCGAUGGAUCCCGCGGCCAUAGAUGAAGUCGAGGAAGAUUUGCCAACCAUAUUCGAUAGUCUAGCUCGAAUUGUCGAAAAACGAAACAUCGAGAUUUCGUUGAAUAUCACAUUCCGCAAGGGAAAGAAAAGUGCAAAGUGAAUGGAAAGGGAAAGUACCAAUCUUGAUAAACCAUGAUGAAGGAAUUAUAGUUUGAUAGCAUUUUUUUCUUUAUCAAGGUCCCUGAAUUGUGUAUUUCGUUUUGAUGAACUGUAUGUGCAUUUCGUUUGGAUGAAUGAAGAUAAUUAAACAGAGAAGAACAAA